rnacentral:rRNA from 1 species
GACGAACGCUGGCGGCAUGCCUAAUACAUGCAAGUCGAACGAGCUUCCGUUGAAUGACGUGCUUGCACUGAUUUCAACAAUGAAGCGAGCGGCGAACUGGUGAGUAACACGUGGGAAAUCUGCCCAGAAGCAGGGGAUAACACUUGGAAACAGGUGCUAAUACCGUAUAACAACAAAAUCCGCAUGGAUUUUUGUUUGAAAGGUGGCUUCGGCUAUCU